rnacentral:rRNA from 1 species
CACUUUCAGUUGUGAGGAAGGUGGUGUUGUGAAUAGCAGCAUCAUUUGACGUUAGCAACAGAAGAAGCACCGGCUAACUCCGUGCCAGCAGCCGCGGUAAUACGGAGGGUGCGAGCGUUAAUCGGAAUUACUGGGCGUAAAGCGCAUGCAGGUGGUUUGUUAAGUCAGAUGUGAAAGACCCCGGGCCUCAACCUGGGAAUUGCAUUUGUAAACUGGCAAACUAGAGUACUGUAGAGGGGGGUAGGAAUUUCAGGUGUAGCGGUGAAAUGCGUAGAGAUCUGAAGGAAUACCGGUGGCGAAGGCGGCCCCCUCGGACAGAUACUGACACUCAGAUGCGAAAGCGUGGGGAGCAAACAGGAUUAGAUACCCUGGUAG